CAAGGUCCCAAACGGGGCGCAGAGGAACUUUCUUCCACUUAUCCCAGUUCUACUCGAUUUGGACAGGCGAUUUUGUAAUCCUAGUUCCGAGUGGGAGUGCAAUCGCCACCGCUGCCUCCCGUCACUAUCUUCCAUAAGGCGGCCAUCUCUCGAUCCAAAUCCGUAGUUGAUGAUCCAGUAAAAGGAGGGUGCGCACGCGAGAGAAAUGGGGAGAGCAAUGGCUAUUUGCUGCAUGAUCUCCUCAUCUAUGCAUGAACUCAAACCGCAUCUUCCUUCCAUCUCUUCCAUUUCAAGAUGGAUCUCAUCACCAUCAUCUGUAGCAGAUGAACAACACCAAAUUGCCCACAGAAACAAAGAUGAGAUGCCCAAGCAGGGCGAAGGAGAGAGAAGAGAAACAGACGAAGAAGAGGAAGACCAUGUAAAUAAAGAAACAGGUGAAAUUGGAGGGCCAAGGGGACCCGAACCCACCAGGUUUGGGGACUGGGAGCGUAAUGGCCGAUGCUCUGAUUUCUGAUGGUCCCUUCUGACUUCAAACUAGUUUAAGUCCACCGACACUAUGCAGACUUCAAACGUGUUUAAAUCCACUGACAAUGAAGGCUUAUAAAAGGAGGCAACCCGUCUUUAGAGAGGCAUCUCAAGUUUUCGAGUCUUGAGUCUUCCACUGGUUUGUAAUGUUCUCUCUGGAGGAUGGAAUUCAGAGACCAGUUCGUCUCUGCCAAAGGAUUGUCUUUGCUGAAGCUCCCGGCUCUCUGGUUGCUUUCUUGUGUGCUUCUCCAUUGCAAGAUGCGAUACUUGCCAUUUUGUUUGUCUAUGAGGAGGAGAGCUGCACCUAGAGUUGAGCCAAGGGAACCUAUAAUUCCUUUGGCACUGAUGAGGAAGAAAACCAGGGUUUUGAAAUGGAAGAGGUCACUAACAUUGUUGAAGGCUUGGGAGAAAACGACGCUGGCUUCCUGGGUCAUAUUGGGGAUGAAAUAGUGAUAGUUGAGGAGUGGUGGUGGUACCAUUGAAUGUCUUACAGCAGGAGGAGAUGUUCCCAUUGGUUGAGGAAUUGGUCCAGCCACCUGAAUUGUAUAAAAAGCUUCUAAAUAGUAAGCACAAAUUGAUUUCUUGGAAAGUUGAUAAAUGGCUUUUUUUGAAAAAUACAAUUGAUAGUACACUUGUGGAUAUUCAGCUCUUGGAUCAAAAUAUCCAGCAGGAAGGAACCAUCUCUGAGGAUAGAGUGUUAGAUGUGCUCUGUUAUGUUCAUCGACUUACCUACAUAGGUUGGAGGAGAUUUAUUGAAAGUAGAUAUUCAGGGUAAAGUGGUUAAAAGAAAGGAGAUCUCAAUACAAAAUUUUUUCAUGCAAUUGCAAGUGAAGGCAGAAAGAUAUUUCAGGACUUAUGGUUCUUGGUGUUGCUGAGAAUGUUCAGGUUGGUUAGAAAUGUAGUAUUAUGAACCAUUUUCAGAAAGCUUUUACUUUGGAUAUUCUUUUUACUCCUAAGAUGAGCGUUAUUGCAUUUAAAUCUCUUUCCUCUGAAAUGGCAGAGAAACUAAAAAUGGUAGUUUCUAUGAAAGAAUUGAAAAAGGCAGUUUUUAUGCUUCCUGGGGACAAGGCUCAUGAACGAGAUGGUUUUCCAUUAAUCAUUUUUCAAAAAUUCUAGUCAAUGGUGAAGGUGAAAUUGUUGGAGAUGGUUAGUGGAUUUAUGCUUAGGGUUGAGUUUGUCAAGGGAGUUAAUGUCAUAUAUAUUGCUCUAAUUAUGAAGAAAUUGGUCAUAUCUGGUCUUCCAGAUAUUUAGACCAAUAAGUCUUCUUACCAGCUUAUACAAAAUUGUGGUUAAAAUUCUUACGGAACAUCUCAAAAGGGUUUUGCCGCAGGUGGUCUCAAACACUCAAUCAACCUUUAUUCAAGACAGGAUGAUUACUGAUAUUGUGUUGGCGGUGAUUAAAUUGCAUAUAUAAGAAGCCUAUGAUAGAGUAGAGUGAUGUGCUCUAUUGGAGUUUUGAGAAAGAUGGGUUUUAGUACAAAAAGGAAGAAUUGGAUUUAUGGAUACCUAUCAACGGCUCAAGGGGUAUAGGGUCAGGGAGUCUUGUUUCGUUUUGGCACCAUAAGUGGUUAGGGUUGUUCCUUUGGAAAUUACUUAUCCACAACUUGAGAAUUUUUAAAGAAAGAAAUGUUGGUUCCAUUUGUACAAUGAAGGGGACUCGAUGAACGAUAUUAAAUGGUGCAAAAACGGAACAACAGAUUCUAAACAGAUUCUAUGGCAGUUUAAAUCAAUUGGGCUUCAAGUUUUAGAUAUGGCAACUCUUUUGAUGACUUCAUUCCAUCCUGUUUACAGGGAGGCUAAUGAUAUCGCGGAUGCUUUGACAAAGAGGGGUGUUUCUAUGCAAGCUUUAGUUGUUUCUCAUGAUGUAGUUUCUCUAUUGUAAUUUUUUCAUUCAAUAAAAUUUGAUAACAUUAUCAGAAAAAAAAAGAAAAGAAAAAGAAAAAGGU